rnacentral:rRNA from 1 species
CAAGUCGAACGGUAACGCGGGGCAACCUGGCGACGAGUGGCGAACGGGUGAGUAAUGCAUCGGAACGUGCCCAGUAGUGGGGGAUAGCCCGGCGAAAGCCGGAUUAAUACCGCAUACGACCUACGGGUGAAAGGGGGGGAUCGCAAGACCUCUUGCCGUUGGAGCGGCCGAUAUCGGAUUAGCUAGUUGGUGAGGUAAAGGCUCACCAAGGCGACGAUCCGUAGCUGGUCUGAGAGGACGACCAGCCACACUGGAACUGAGACACGGUCCAGACUCCUACGGGAGGCAGCAGUGGGGAAUUUUGGACAAUGGGGGCAACCCUGAUCCAGCCAUUCCGCGUGAGUGAAGAAGGCCUUCGGGUUGUAAAGCUCUUUCGGCAGGAACGAAACGGUGUGGGCUAAUACCCUAUAUCAAUGACGGUACCUGAAGAAGAAGCACCGGCUAACUACGUGCCAGCAGCCGCGGUAAUACGUAGGGUGCGAGCGUUAAUCGGAAUUACUGGGCGUAAAGCGUGCGCAGGCGGUUUUGUAAGACAGAUGUGAAAUCCCCGGGCUUAACCUGGGAACUGCGUUUGUGACUGCAAGACUCGAGUGUGGCAGAGGGGGGUGGAAUUCCACGUGUAGCAGUGAAAUGCGUAGAGAUGUGGAGGAACACCGAUGGCGAAGGCAGCCCCCUGGGUCAACACUGACGCUCAUGCACGAAAGCGUGGGUAGCAAACAGGAUUAGAUACCCUGGUAGUCCACGCCCUAAACGAUGCCAACUAGGUGUUGGGGGAGGAGACUUCCUUAUUAUCAUACCUAACGCGUGAAGUUGGCCGCCUGGGGAGUACGGUCCCAAGAUUAAACUCCAAGGAUUGACGG